GAUCAUUAUAUUACUGUCACCCAUGGCAAGUCUGUUGCUACACCAAAGCGUCCUCAGGCCUGCCUGCCUAUUCUGAUUCUGUUGGAGCAGAUUCCUCCAGCUCUCCAGGACUGGACCUAGGUGCCCCUGGUUCAGACAGUUAUGCUGUCUGUGUGGUCCACUUAUCUGAGACAAAAUAAAGACGCUUCACCAAUGAGAGGAGAUUUAUGGUGACAUGUGAAAGUCUCAGGGGAGGUUCUGUAAGAACCAGAACCAAAUAUUAACAUCAUUCAGUUAACUAUGAGAUUAUUAUAAAUUCUGUCUCAUAUGUUGCACACUCCUUCUGAAACAAACCCUGAAGCCCUUUAAAAAAAAAAAAAGUACUCUUUGAUUUCCAUCCCUCUGAAGACGGUUCUGUCUGUGAGACAGAGACUCAGCCUGAACCCAGAACCAGCUGCUCUGACUUUCUCUCCAUGCUGCAAAUCGAUGUGGAUUACAGGAGCUGAGCCUGAUGUAUGAAGCUGCAUGCAUGACUGUGUGUGCUAACAAGACUCCUGUGUGGGAGUGAGGGGGUGUGUUGAAAAAGUCACUGCAGCACUUUGUUGAAGCCAGAUGCUGCAAUGGACACAUAAAUAAGUACUGCAGCAGUCUCUGUGAGGCACACAGCGGCAGGAAUCCCUCUGUAGCACAACCCAAUGAAGCAUCAGGGCUGAUUUGGAUCUGCUUCCAUCAUACCCAGUUAAACUGGAAACGGGUCUUUUGUUUCUAAAAAUAAUUUGUUAAAAAUUGUUGCAGGACUCAGCCACCUUCAUCCUGCUCUGCCCCAGCUGUUCCCUGGAUGGAUGAGAAGAAGGUUCAAGUAACAUAAUUAGUAGCUUGAUGACAUCAAGCUGAAGCGUGGUGUUAUCUGCUGCUAAUCUCACAGAGAGGGAUGUAUUACACUGCAUAGGCGGGGAAACCCUCUAAAAUGUGCUUCCACAGCAUCAGCCACAGGUCAACAUGCAGAAUCAUCUUUUGAAGACAGUUUUUAACCUCAGGAAGCGUUUCCAGGUUCACGAAGGUGAAAUAAAAUGUGAAACUGGAUCAUUUCAGAAUCCGAAGCCCAAUGUGAACAGCAGACAAACGGGAGAAGCAAUGACUUCAUUUUUAAAGAGUCGUCUUUGUUUAAUGUGGAGAAAAUGAAGAUUUACAGCAAAACAUGUAAGGAUUUUACAGCAUUGUUGGUUUGGAGUAAGAAUGAGGAGUCAUUAUCUUACCUCGAAUGGACAUUUGGUUUCAAAAGGGUCCCAAUAAAGUAUUUUACUCAUAGUAACCAGAUUUUAUUUAGGCGCGCCAGCUGAAUAAACAUCCUACUGUGUAAUUUAAGCCCUAGAUGUGCACUUACAGAGAAGGUAGAAGGUGAAAUGCUUUUAUUCUAUUCUACAUAAAUAUAUUAACAAUUUUCUUUUGAAGGUGAUUUUUUUUUCUUUUCUUUCUGUAACAAAAUGUAUUUUAUGUUUUUACAAUGACCUGCUCUCAGUGCCGAUCCUUAAAUAAUGAGUAAAUGAUCUAGUGAAUAAGUUCACUGAAUUACCAAUGCCAUUCCUGAACGAGCUCAGCUGAACCUUUGUACCGAGCACAUCAGUCACGGUUUGCUUGACUGCAUGUGAAUUCCUCUCUGGUUCUCCAAGCCGGGAUCACCGACAGCUGGAAGCUGCAGGUUGUUGUUGCAGAUGUUCCCUAACAGACCUGUGCUGCUCUUGAUCAAUAGGUUUGCAGGUUUUCUAAAGGGUUUCUUUGUAUAUAAGCUAUUUUACCCAUUUCGAUUGGACUUCAAUCAAGAUGAUCAAGGCAGCAUUUGGGAAUUAACUUGAAGUUUUGCGUUUAAUAAAGUCAAAUAAAAUAGAAAGUGCUGAAGAA